CUGAGGGGCUCUUUACCAUACAGGCUUCCCAUGAGGCAGCACAACUCAUUUCCAUUACACCACUGGCACAGCAAGCGGACAUCAGGGAGGCUGGUGGAGAGGUGCGGCCAGCAGUGCGGAUGGCAGAGAGGCGUGGACAGCAGGGCAGCUGGCGGAGAGGCAUGGCAAGCAGCCAGCAGAGAAGCUGGUGGAGAGGGCCAGAGCAGAGCUCCACAGAGGCAUGGCAAUCAGCCAUUGGGAUGACGAGCGAGUGCCUGAGCAGUACAGAGUGUAAGGGUAUCAAAGUCCAUGACAGAAGCUGGCUCCUACACCUUGAAGAGAAAAGAGCCCGUAGGAAGCAAGCAGCCCCCAAGCAAGAUACAUACAUUUGCAAUAACUGCCAAAAAUCAUGCAAAUCUCAGAUUGGACUAUUCAGUCACAUGAGACAUUGCAAAGCAUCUAUAUCAUAGGCUGCAAUUCCCACCGUCUCUCGCAGACAAAAGGAUGCCAACAAUAUUGCAGGGAGAAAGAAGAACUAUAUGAAAAUGAAACAUUUAUCUCACUGUAAAAAAAUCUGUAAGCCUCAUUAUGCAGCUAUUAAGAAGCAAUUUUUGUUCAUAUUGUUUUGACCUUAUUUGGGACCUUCUGGAGGGUUAUACUAGCAAGCAGCAAAUUAAGCAUUUAGUGGCAGGUUGCAAAGGCAUUAUUCCAAGUGCAAUCACUCACAGCAGCUUUUGGUCACCAGUUCAUCUAUUACACCGUAGGCUGGUUUCUGAAAGCCAUGGGUUCUUAAUGAAUUUCUUACAUCAUCCCAUUCACACUGCUGGCAGAUAUCUAUUUUAGCGUCACUUUAAAAUGUUUGUUUUUCUGUCUGUUAUGGCUACUUUAAAAAAAAAAGCUUCAUGUCCAUUUAAAACUACCUAUCAGGCUUUGGAUCCGUUAGAAGAAAAGGUACUAUAUGAAUUUCAGCUACCAUUAGUAGUUCUUUCUCUACUUCUUCUAUCUGUUUGGCUAGUUAUGCUCGUUUCACCUCACUGAUGGACCUAGUGUCUGAAGAUUUAGGAUCCAGUCCUGCAGCUCAGUUACGGGCAAAACUCCUGGGGCACAACUGACCAUCUUUUAACCAGUACAAAGUGGUAUCAAGUAGCAAAUGGGAGCAUUUUACCCUCACUUUGCACUGGAAUAAAUGAUGACACAAGAUGCCUGGCACUGGUGAACUAGGCUCCCCAUGGCAUAAGCGGGAGCACUGAAUGCAUUGAGUACAAAUCAGGUCUUGCAGGUCUUUGAAGAGAGGAGACUGUUAGUAUUUUUUAAAAGUAAACAAUAUAUCAGUCACUGGAGAUAGAAAUGGGAUUGCAGGCCUUUGUAUGAUCCAGUAUCAUAUGCGAUGUCAUCAAAUAUAUUUGGAACAGCUCCAAGUAACUCCAGCCUCAUAUAUACUGUGCUACUGUAACUCACACACCUCCUGGGUGUAGUGUUCUGUCCCAUUUAGUGGCACUGAGACCACUUAGAGAGAGAGAGAGAUAAUGAGUCUGUUCUACAGCCUUCGCUAACAGCCAGUUGGCUUUUAGCUCAUGCGGUAGAGACACAUGCACUAAGUUCUCGAGGCCCCGGAUUCGAUCCUGCCCGAUGACGACCGGGGUCUGUUGGUGUUACACUAGCAAGGAAAAUCUUACAUCUUUGGAUAUCUGAUCUCAGUUAUUCUAGUUAUUGAUUUCUAAAGAUGAACUAGUAAGCCUCAUAUUUACUUUAAAAAUACUUGAGAGCUUUCCCAAACCUAUUCACGAACUCAGGAAAUAAAAUAUAGCAGCGUAUACUAAUUUAUUUCCUAUGGCAUUAACAGUAUAAUGUAACAAACCUGUCUUUCUGCAUAAAUAUUGUAAUGGAUACAAACAACCUUUUAAUUACUUUCUCUAAAGUUCUUGGAAUGUAGGGCUAGCUGUAAUGUAAGAGGAAAUCAUACAUGGACAACAUAAUGAAGCCAAUCAUUAGAAGUCUGUAUCCCCCAUAAGAAAGUUCUCUGCUACUGUGCUCUGCAUUGCAGUAUAUAAGGACAGGAGGAUUACUGUUUACACUAUGCCACUAUAAAUUAUAUUUUUGAAGCCUCUUUUGGAAAAUCUACUUUAUUUUUAAUUUUCAGAAAACAAAGAGAAUGUAACUAUUAUUUUAAAUAAUGUUAAAUGCUAAAAGGACUGAUUUCAAGCCAGCAUCAUUAAAAAGUGUAUAUGUUUGUAGAUAGGGUUCUCUUUUUAAUACAGAGUUCUACUAAAUGAAUGCCUUAAUAUGGGCUUCUUUGAUUUGAAUGUUGUUUCUCUUAGCCUCUGUACCAUUAAAGUCAAUGAGAAUUUUGCCAUUGACUCAGUGAGCAUAGGAUUCAAGCUCUUACAUCUGAAAUGAAUGAAAGAAGUGAGGAGCUCCUUCAGAAUCACUCAAUUAACUAUCCACCUUAUUUACAAGCCUGAACUUUUACUCUGUGAGCUCACUUUUUUUCCUUCAUAUCCAGAAUAAAUAGUAGUCUAACACACACACA